CUCUUCUCUACCAGCUACAGAUGGAAGGCUUCUCCACCAUCCGAAAAGUUAGCUGAGCUCAGAGACGUCCAAGGACCUGCCCAAGAAGCUCAGAGAAGGGCCCGGGAGACUGAGCGGAGGUGUGACAUGGAGUGACUUACAUCAUAAGAGGAUUCUGCUGUGUUGACGCUAAUGACGACGAGGGUGGAAGAAGCCUGGGGGCCAGUUAGGAGGUCAUUGCCGUGAUCCAGGUAAAGACUGGAGGAGUAGAGGCUCCAACUCCUUUCCAUG